rnacentral:lncRNA from 1 species
UUUGGCCAUAAAAUUACACAUUAUCGGCAAAAAAACAGAAGAAAAACGGUACUUUUUUUUUUCUUUGGCGCUGCCUCUAGCGGCGAAAAUCGGGAACCGAGCGCCAAUACUCGAUAUCAUUGGUCCAAAUAGGUCGAUCCUUAUCAGGAUCGCGUUAGUGUUGAUAGCAUUCUCGCAGAGGUAGUAUCUACGCUCGUUCGCUCUCCAGAAUUUGUGUGUGUGCGGGUGUGAAAAGUGCGUUUCCUUACAAACUGUGCCUGGAAAUUGCGUUUAGUGCCCAGCUGAGCUCUUAUAGAGGCAUGCUGGUCGCGUCGGUUCGUGGUUCUGGAACUGUUCUAAGGCUUUUCACAGCAUUUUAAGGUACUCUUGUCCUUAAGGCUGUUUCUGAUGAGGUACGGCGAUUGGUGCAGAUCUGGAACGAAGCUUUUCUGGAAAAGGACAGUAGGAUGUAGCAUCUAUGGAUGGGGCCCGGAACGAGAUAAAAUCAGGUUGGUGAGCGUAUGCAAGGGCUGCACAUCGUCGGGAGUGCUCUGUAAGUUUUUUAAAUGUACUUUUUUUCUGGUUUAUUUGGUUGUUCGUUUAUUUCUCUGGAGAUGGCGUGAGCGCGGUCCUGCAGGAGCUAAAGUCACCUGUGGGGCCCCUCACAGAAGCAAAGCAGAGUGUUGAGUCGACCUCUGCAGGAGCUAAAGUCCCCUGCAUGAGUGUUCUCACAGAAGCACGUUGGGUUGAGUUCCACGGGGGCUAACGUCCUCUGUGGAGUCUCCUCACAGAAGCAAAGAAAAUGCUUUCCUCUCGAAAGCAGCAGAGGUCCCUUGGGUCGUUUGUUAUGUCUGACGGUCUAUUUAUGAGUCAUCUUGAAGAACGGAUUAUUCUUUUAGGGAUGUAUUUGGCGUUCUUAUAGUUUUCUUCAUAUUAUCUAGGCCAAAUUAAAAUCUAGAAAAUGCCUGACAAUUAUUUUCAUUUUAUCAAAUUAAACAUGUAGGUGUAGGUAGCUUUCUUUAACUUUCUAAUUUUUUAACUCACUUUCAUUUAUUAUUCUACUUUUUUAGAGUAAACGCAUGUCAAUAUCUAAGCAUUUCAAUAACUAAAUUUUUAAUAUGAAUGAUCUAAGUGUUUUAAUUUAUUUUAUAUUUUCAAUUCAAUAAAAUUUAUUAAUUAUUUCGAAAUUCAAAAUAUACAAUCAAAAUAUUUUAAUAUUCAUAGUUUAAGUUUAAAUUUUUGCGGUCCAAAACUUAACAGGGACAUAUCUAAAUCUCGUUUAUUUUCUUACAAAAAUAGGCACCAGCUCUACAAAGACUGAUAGCCUCUAUGAGCCUCCAGUUUGAGUCAUCACAUCUUUAGAUGCUUUUUGUAGGGUUCGUGUAUACAAGUCAGAGUCAUUUCGAAGCCAAAUUGACGUCUUUUCUAUGUAUUUGGUAGUCUUUUUUGUUACUGUUUUUUACAGGUUUAGGUAUGAGCCGUACAAGACACCACAGUAGCCAGUUUGCGUCGAUGUCUGCAGAAUAAUAUUCUUGUGUUUUAUAAGUUCUCUAUAUAUAUGGUGGUCUUUUUUUGUUUUUUUUACAGGUAUUGGUACAUUUUUACAGGUAUUGGACGAGCCUUACAGGGAACCACAGCAGCCAGUUUAUUUUUUUUAUUGUAAGGCUCUUGUUUUUUAUAGGUUCUAUAUGAAUAUGGUAUUUUUUGUUACUAUUUUUACAGGUAUUCUAUGGCAUGAACGUUACAGGGAACCACAGCAACCAGUUUGAGUUGAUGUCUGUAGAAUAUUGUUGUAGGGUUCUUGUGUUCUAUAAGUUCUCUAUGUAUAUGGUGGUUUUUUUUGUUACUAUUUUUACAGAUAUUGGUACGAGUCUUACAGGGAACCACAGCAGCCAGUUUAUUUUUUUUAUUGUAAGGCUCUUGUUUUUUGUAGGUUCUCUAUAUGUAUAUGGUAUUUUUUGUUACUAUUUUUACAGGUAUUCUAUGGCAUGAACGUUACAGGGAACCACAGACCACAGCAAGCAGUUUGAGUUGAUGUCUGUAGAAUAUCGUUGUAGGGUUCUUGUGUUUUAUAAGUACUCUAUGUAUAGGUGGUCUUUUUUUGUUACUAUUUUUACAGAUAUUGGUACGAGUCUUACAGGGAACCACAGCAGCCAGUUUAUUUUUUUUUAUUGUAAGGCUCUUGUUUUUUAUAGAUUCUCUAUGUAUAUGGUCUUUUUUGUUACUAUUUUUACAGGUAUUCUAUGGCAUGAACGUUACGGGGAACCACAGCAACCAGUUUGAGUUGAUGUCUGUAGAGUAUUGUUGUAGGGUUCUUGUGUUUUAUAAGUACUCUAUGUAUAGGUGGUCUUUUUUUGUUACUAUUUUUACAGGUAUUGGUACGAGCCUUACAGGGAACCACAGCAGUCAGUCUGAAUCGAUGUCUCUAGAAUAUUUUUGUAGGGUAUUCGUGUUUUAUAGGUUCACAUAUAUUGGAAGUUCUGCUACGUUUGAAGCUGUAUCAGGUCAGAGUCAUGUCGAAGCCAAAUUAUGACACUCGUUUUCUGCUACUCCUAUUUUUCCUUACAGCAUUAGGUCAAGAUGCUCUAGUACUAUCAGUCUUUUUAUGAGCCUCCAAGGAACCACAGUAGAGUCAGUUGAAGUAGAUGUCUUUAGAAGAUUUUCGUCGGGUUAUCUUCGUCUUCAUCGAGUGUCUUACAGGUUCACAUUGGUUCAUGUCGUUGUUCAGAGUUUCAAUUUUUUUCUCCCAAGCUUUUCAGGGACUAACGUUCUCUGUAAGAGCUGCAGCUCUGCAGGGACUAACGUUCUCUGUAAGAGCUGCACUGUAGGUAUUGUGGAUUGUUUGUCGUUUAUCUUUUUUUGAAUUUUCGGGAGGGGAGUGUAGUGAUAAGUGCUUAUAGGAUGCUAUUAAAUACGAAUAAAAAAAAUAUAGUGAUAUAAACUACAGGUAAGAAAGUAUUGUCUUACAGCUUCAUAAAUUUCGAGAUUUUUUUAUUUCUUAGACAAGGUUCUCUACAAUGAUAUUGUAUGCAGGAACAAAAAUUAAAAAAAAACAAUAAAAUCUGUUAAAAUAAAUUUAUUGGUUUGA